GUAAUCGCAGUGUACCAAUAUCAUGCGGUUAUGGAAUUAGGAAGGUCAGUGAAGAGUGGCGAUGUCUGUAUGAUGUUGAUGACGAAUUUAAUGAAGCAGGAUGCAUCACAUUAAAUCACCUUGACAAUUGCACUGAUUAUGUUUGUCCAGACCAAUAUGUGAAGUGUCCAAAAAGUUACUGUAUUCUUCAACAUAAAGUUUGCGAUGGACACAUGGACUGUCCGAACGGGGAGGACGAGCAAAAUUGCUGGUGUCAGGAAGACGAAAAUACGUUUUUGAUUUUUCUUGAUAUGUUUUCUGGCGCCAAACAAAAACAAAGAGCUUGCAAACUAGCCGGUCAGUUAUACUCUAAGGGUCGAACUGUUAUGUUCAUUUCAUACCGAACUGACAUUAUGCUGGCAUUCUAUGGACAAAUUAUUCGUUCGAA